rnacentral:lncRNA from 1 species
GGGAAGGCUUGUGUCCAAGGGCUAUCUACAUGCCAGAGAUGGGGUGUCUUGGCUCUCAGAACCAGCACCCAAGCGCUGAAUAAAUUGGAUAAAUGCAUUUGUCGUGGUGCCCCCUCCAAGCCACGUGGCCUGGCUCCUUGCUGCCCCUUCUAGGCAGGAGUUGGAGUGAUGCCACUACAGAAGCUCUUGUUCCCCAGAAGGGACAAACCUAGGGGAUGUGAGGGCAAUGAGGCCUUUGAUCCUUCCCCAGGGCCCUGUCACAGGGACACCCCAGUUUGUCUCAGGAGGGGAAACAGAUUGCCUUAGUCCCAGGCUUGGGUUUAAUUCUGGCCCCCGAUGUAAGAGAAUAGUUCAGGCAGCACAGAGACUGAAAUGAGGCCCUAGCACGGUGAGCUCUCUAAUUCAAGCAAGCUCUCACUGCCCAAACAGAAAGCGUCAUGGGAGUCUUUAUCUGCCAGUCCCCUGGGCAAGCAAGAGCCCUGACGCGAGGAGAGGUGGGAGCGGGAGGUCUCUAUCCCCUCUGGCAGCCUUGCUCAGUGUGGGAGUCUUGCUAGGAGUGUCAAACAGUGUACCUCUCUGUACCAGCUGGCCCCUAGGCGUAAGCUGGCUGUUUCAUCUGAUGUUUAGCCAAGGACAUGGCAAUGAGUUGGAUUAAGGUGGUGUGUGUGUUCUGUGAAUAUCAUAGUAUUUUCAGAAUUUAUGGCAAUUUAAGGGAUUUUCAGGGAUUAUUCUGCCCACACGUUUUGCCUUUAGGAGCUGAGGGUAGUACCUAACCUCCAAGACAUGACUGUGAACUUGUGUUUACUGAGUACCAUAUGCUAGACAGUUUCCCUGGCAUAUUAAUGCUGUGGUUUCAUUUGACACUUCAAACCACCGUAUGAGGUAGGUACCGUGUAAUCCCCAUAUUGCAGAUGAGAAAACAAAAGUUCAUAGACAUUAUUUAGCUGUUAAGUGAUAGCUGCCAUUUGAACCCAGGCUGUCUGACUCUCAGAUCCACGUGCCUGACCAGCAUGCUCUUCCACCGCCCUAGGAGGGAACCCUUUACAUAGCACAGGUCAACCCAGCUGAGGCCUGUCCCAGAGCAGAGUGGGCGCUAAGGACAGGCGUUCAAAAUGGCCAGUUUCUGCUGGAGAUAAGACAGAAUUUCCCUAGUGGGGAGCUAACCAGCAUCAGGAUGCGCUGCCUGAGAGAGUCCUGGAGCCAGUGGAGAGUUUACCCUGCAUGACCACGAAGGAACUAAGCCCAUGUCCC